ACCCAUCGCAAUCCCUCCCACUCGCAAUAAACAUCAUUCCAUUAGUCACCCAAAGCCCAAAGAUUUACCUUUAAAAAGAAAAGCCAAUAUGUACUGUUUUCUUCCCUCAGGACAUACACGGUUUUUCUGUAUAUAGUCUUCUUGAAACACCACAGAACUAUUUUGUUUUGUUAUAUUAAAAAGCCAAAACAGCAGGAACCCAUUUCAGCAUUUCGAACCCUCUCUUUCUAGUGUUGUAAGCGUUGUCAGCUCAGCUACUGGGAUAUACACCGAUUUUCUGUAUAUAGCCUUCUUGAAACACCACGAACACUAGUUUUAUUUCUGUAUAUUACCUUACCUUACCUUCUCCACACGCCUACGAAACUCCGGAAACUCCUGCCUCAGAAGAAACCCAUUUCAUCAUUCCCCAAACCCUUCUGUCUGGACUGUUAUUUAUAGUGUUUAAAAGGUUUCGUAUCCUCUGCUCACGGGACAUAUACCGUUUUUUUUCUGUAUAUGGCCUUGAAACAUCAGAAAACCUCCUCUUUCAACCCUCACUGUGUAUAACCUUCUGGAAACAUCAUACAAACUUCUCUCGUAGAAACCCAUUUCACCAUUCAUGAAACCUUCCUUUCUAGUGUUUUAGCCUUUACAAACGCCGUUCUUGAGAUAUACACGAUUUUUCUGUAUAUAAUCUUCUUGAAACAACAGAAAACCUCCUCCCUGAGAUACUAUUUCUCUUUUUUCUUUAGGCUUUCCAUCCAUAUUGUCAUAUGGGUUUUCUGCAGAAAACUCAUGUGAAAAUAGCCAGAAAACUCCUCUCUCAAGGACCCAUGAUUCCUAUCACCAACAGAAGCUGAUAUUCUCAAAAAAGAAAAGCUGUUGGGUUGGGUUUUUUUUUUUUUGAAGAUUUUGUUGCAUUUUUUUACUCUUUUUUUUUUUCGGAUUGGAUGUUCUGCAGAGAAACUCGUGUAAACAUCCCAACAGCUCUAAGAAAAAAACCUAGAUAAAAAUCAUAAUCAAAGCCUCUGUUUUCGACCGUUUUGAUCUUGAUUUCUGUUUGCAGACACGGGUUUUGUGCAGAAAACCUUCUGUAAAAAUGGAAAUGUCAUUUAUCAAGAAAACCCAUUUUGUUGCUUCCAUCAAUAACUGAAAUAAUCAUACAAACAAUCCCAUACUUGUUGCUGCCUUUUGGGAAUUUUCAGAAACAUGGGUUGUGUUCAUGGAAAGUGCUAUUGCCACUGCACGCCGUCAAUAUCUGAUGAGGAGGGCCAAGAUUACAGAGACAUAGGCCCGCAUUCCACCACCAGCAUCCUUGAAAAUCACCGACACAUACUCACCGAAAGCUCAGUAGGAUUCGUCCCCGUUCCUUCUCACAACUUCCAUUUGCAAUACUCAUUCCUCACACAGCGUGGAUACUAUCCUGACUCUCCGGAUAAGGAAAAUCAGGACAGUUUCUGCAUUCAUACCCGAGUCCAAGGUAACCCGAAUCUCCAUUUCUUUGGGGUGUUCGAUGGGCACGGUCAGUUCGGCACUCAGUGUUCAAAUUUCGUCAGGGAUAGGUUGAUUAAUAUCUUGGGAAAUGACCCCACAUUGGCAGAUGAUCCUAAGAAAGCUUAUGAUUCGGCAUUUUUAGCUACUAAUUCUGAACUCCAUGAUAGUGAGAUUGAUGAUUCACUGAGUGGUACUACCGCGAUUACUAUUCUUGUUAGCGGGAACACUCUUUUUGUUGCGAAUGUGGGUGAUUCAAGGGCUGUGAUGGGUGUUAGAAGUGGGAAUUCUGUUCUAGCAGAGGAUCUUUCAAUCGAUCAGACACCAUUUCGGCAGGAUGAGUAUGAGCGGGUGAAGCUUUGUGGGGCCAGAGUUUUGACCAUUGAUCAGGUGGAAGGGGUCAAGGAUCCAGAUAUCCAGAGCUGGGGUGAUGAAGAAAGUGAUGAGGGUGACCCACCGAGAUUGUGGGUGCAGAAUGGGAUGUAUCCUGGGACGGCGUUUACGAGAAGUGUGGGAGAUGCAACUGCUGAGAAGAUCGGUGUGAUUGCUGAUCCCGAGGUGUCAAUGGUUCAUCUGACGCCGGACCACCUGUUCUUCGUUGUUGCAAGUGAUGGGGUUUUCGAAUUCCUCAACAGUCAAGCGGUUGUGAAUAUGGUGGUUAAAUUUGCAGAUCCUCGGGAUGCAUGUGCUGCAAUUGCUGCAGAAUCAUAUCAGAAGUGGUUGGAGCAUGAAAAUCGGACUGAUGAUAUAACAAUCAUCAUCGUACACAUCAAAGACUUGUGUAAUUCAGGUGCUGGUGCAACUGAUCGAGCCGUUGGAACCAACACCAAGACGGCUCGACUAGUGGUAGAAAAAGGACCAUCUGAAAGAUUGGUUUUCAGGAAAUCAGAAGAUUAUCCUUGCACGAGCGGGAGAUUCUCAGAACUCCAACCUUGUCCUCACGAUCUUCCCACUGAACUCAGUUUGGCAUGUGUCGCACAAUCUCCGUCACCUACCAAGUCCUCAGAAACGUGAUAAAAUCAGACGGGCAUAGGGAAUUUGAUCGUUUAUAUCCUGCUUAAAAUGCAUUAAAGGAUCAGCAGAAGGCUUGGGGGGUCUGAUCUUCUAACAAUGGUGGCAGGAGCAGUUUGGUGCUGUUCUCAGUUUACCAUCAGAUAUUCUUAGCCUACUAAUUCUUUAAUCAACUCUUAUAACCUUGUCUACACACAGAUCUUGUAUAUAGUUGAUUAGGCUUUCUUUUAUUCAAGGCAAAAGACAUUUUACA